rnacentral:rRNA from 1 species
UACGGGGGGGGGUAAGCGUUGUUCGGAAUUACUGGGCGUAAAGGGCUCGUAGGCGGCCAACUAAGUCAUACGUGAAAUCCCUCAGCUUAACUGGGGAACUGCGUGUGAUACUGGAUGGCUUGGAUUUGGGAGAGGGAUGCGGAAUUCCAGGUGUAGCGGUGAAAUGCGUAGAUAUGGGGAGGAACACCGGUGGCGAAGGCGGCCAUCUGGACGGAUACUGACGCUGAGACGCGAAAGCGUGG